rnacentral:rRNA from 1 species
AAUAGAUACCCGGGUAGUCCAUGCCGUAAACGUUGGGAACUAGAUGUAGGGACCAUUCCACGGUUUCUGUGUCGCAGCUAACGCAUUAAGUUCCCCGCCUGGGGAGUACGGCCGCAAGGCUAAAACUCAAAGGAAUUGACGGGGGCCCGCACAAGCGGCGGAGCAUGCGGAUUAAUUCGAUGCAACGCGAAGAACCUUACCAAGGCUUGACAUAUACCGGAAAAGUUCAGAAAUGUUCUCCCCGCAAGGUCGGUAUACAGGUGGUGCAUGGUUGUCGUCAGCUCGUGUCGUGAGAUGUUGGGUUAAGUCCCGCAACGAGCGCAACCCUCGUUCUAUGUUGCCAGCACGUAAUGGUGGGAACUCAUAGGAGACUGCCGGGGUCAACUCGGAGGAAGGUGGGGAUGACGUCAAAUCAUCAUGCCCUUAUGUCUUGGGCUUCACGCAUGCUACAAUGGCCGAUACAAAGGGCUGCAAUACCGUAAGGUGGAGCGAAUACCCAAAAACGUCGGUCUCAGUUCGGAUUAAGGUCUGCAACUCGA